CCCCGCUCCACCGGGGACUAACCUUGUUGCUGGAAGAAUUUCUGCUGCGCUUACUUACUUUCCCUGCAAAGAAACUAACUAUUCAGAUCCAAGGAGCGGGGAAGAUGAACUCUGGCUCUGGGAACUGAGGAAUGCCUAUCCCAGGGUCUGGGAUCCCUGGCCCAAACGAAAUUAGAAGAAAGUAGCCUUGCUCAGCAUCCCCAGGUGUUUCAGGAUGGCUCUUUUCCAUAUGCUGUAAUGUUAAGAACACAGCGAUGCUUCUAGAGAGAGAGAGAUUCACCUCACACAAUUGAAAGAGUUGGCGAAGAGUCGGAGGGAAGACUAAAUCUUGAUCAGCCUCUCUGAACUUAUGACGAAGUGGGCUUAAAAAUAUCCAUUGGCCCAGCUCUGUGACUUAGACUGUAGGAUAUGUGGCAUGAAAAAAGACUCCCCAGAUUCUGGAUUUUACCCAGAUCUACCAGAGAAAAUAACUGGAGAGAGAAGAAAGGUUAAGUUGACCCAGUUAUACUUACGGACAAAGGACAACCAAUCACUUCCACCUUAACCACAGCAAGAUUAUCUUCAUGAAUCUAUUCGGGCAGUGCCUUCCAUCAGAGGAAACAUUUAUCUAAGAGUUGCGAUCAACAGUUGUGCAACUCACUGUGCAACUCACCGCGCAACUCACUGUGCCAGGUCCUGUUGUUGGGGUAACACCAUCUUCACAACUACAACUCACCAUGAAGCACACGAUUCCAGAUCUUUCAGCCAUUUAUGUUCCAUGUUCCUGAUCUUUGCGGUCUGAUUACGACAUUUGGUUUAGUCACUCAGUUACUUUGAUUGUACUUUUAUUACAGCUAUAAUCAAACCUCAAAUUGCUCCAGAUGUGCCGUGGCACACAUGACGAUAAGGAGUGUGCGAUGAAAAGCCACGAUUGAGAAAAGGCUUCUAAGGCUUUUAGGAUUUGGGGUCAUGACAAUCCCACCCAUCCUAAUUUCCAGAGACCUAGAACAGCAGACGAUCUUCACAGGUGGACAGAUCCUGAAUUGUUAACUGGUGAGACUGGGAUCUUGAAAUACCUUCAACUAAAUAGGUGGACACUCCACCCUGCAAAUCCGAUUGGCUGAGAGGGCCCCAGAACCUCUUGGCAAGGAGAAAAGGUCACCAUUUAGUGCCUCAAAAGCUAACUUUGUGAUGCUCUGGGCAGAUAAUAUCUCUCUCGCAGCCAGUUUGUAGAGCAGGCUGCGCCCUUAGGCACAGCCACUGUGCUGUUCAUAUUAAAUGGAAAUGUGGGAUUGCAUUUUUUUGGGCGAGGGGCACUGGAGUCAGGGUUUAGGGGUAGAAUCUGAGCAAUUAUUCUUCUUAAUGGACAUGCUUCACUCUGCUUGUUCUUUUUCUGACCCACAUGCACAGUGUUGCUGAAAAAUGACUUCCGGUUUACAGACAGUGGUGGAAACUUUUAUAAUUGAGUAUUGUACCUCAAUUUUGUUGUUGUUGUUGUUGUUUCCCUUCUUGAAAGGCAAAAUUCGGUGGGUGCACUCGGUGUGGCACAGGCUCAUUGUCCACUUGUAGGGCAGAAGAAAUUUGUCAUGAAAUUGAGAGCUUUAGAGAUGAAAUGACUAUUAACAUGAUAGGUGUGAUCUUAGGGCAACUGUGGGAGAGUGAAAGA